GCGGAUGUGGUGUAGCGGCAACAUCAAGGCGUGCCAAGUCUUAGUCACGGGUUCAAAUCCCGUCUUCCGCU
rnacentral:tRNA from 2 species